AUACGUAUGGGGCGAGCGUUGUCCGGAAUGAUUGGGCGUAAAGGGUACGUAGGCGGUUAAUUAAGUCGAGUGUGAAAGGUUGGGGCUCAACCCCAUAAAGCAUUCGAAACUGGUUAACUUGAGAUGUGGAGAGGAAAGUGGAAUUCCUAGUGUAGCGGUGACAUGCGUAGAUAUUAGGAGGAAUACCAGUAGUGAAGGCGACUUUCUGUACACAUACUGACGCUGAGGUACGAAAGCGUGGGGAGCAAAGAGGAUUAGAUACCCUGGUGGUCCGCGCCGUAAACGAUGAAUACUAGGUGUAGGGGGUCGAACCUCAGUGCCGCAGCUAACGCAUUAAGCACUCCGCCUGGGAAGUACGCUCGCAAGAGUGAAACUUAAAGGAAUUGACGGGG
rnacentral:rRNA from 1 species